rnacentral:pre_miRNA from 1 species
AAAAAAACAAACCCUGGGUUUCCGUGUCCAACUUUGACUGUCCGUCUUAUAUGAAAUUUUUUUAUAAUUCGUAUUUUCAUUGUUGUUAGAUGAUAAAACAUGAUUAAUAUUUUAUGCGUGACUUGUCUUUUUAUUUUUUUUUCAUAAUUUUUUUAAAUAAGACGGACGGUCAAACGUUGGACACGGAAACCAGGGUUUGUCUUUUU